CUUUCUUUGCUGGCGACCGGCGCACGGGUGAGUGACACGUAUCCAACCUGCCCUUUACUCGGGGAUAGCCUUUCGAAAGAAAGAUUAAUACCCGAUAGCAUAAUGAUUCCGCAUGGUUUCAUUAUUAAAGGAUUCCGGUAAAGGAUGGGGAUGCGUUCCAUUAGGUUGUUGGUGAGGUAACGGCCCACCAAGCCUUCGAUGGAUAGGGGUUCUGAGAGGAAGGUCCCCCACAUUGGAACUGAGACACGGUCCAA
rnacentral:rRNA from 1 species